GUCGAGCGACCCUAGCGCAAGCUAGGGAGCGGCGGACGGCUGAGUAAUGCGUAGGUAUCUACCCCUAGGUGGGGAAUAGCUCCGAGAAAUCGGAGAUAAUACCCCAUAGUGUCCGGCUUUAGUCGGACUAAAGGUCGUAACUGAUCGCCAAGGGAGGAGCCUUCGUCCUAUCAGGUAGUUGGUAGGGUAACGGCCUACCAAGCCUAUGACGGGUAGCUGGUCUAGGAGGAUGACCAGCCAGAGGGGCACUGAGAUACGGGCCCCACUCCUACGGGAGGCAGCAAUCAGGAAUAGUCGGCAAUGGACGAAAGUCUGACCGCGCGACGUCGCGUGUAGGAAGAAGCUCUUCGGAGUGUAAACUACUGUGAUAAGGGAAGAAGAUCGAGCUUAGCUCGGUUUGACGGUACCUUAUUAGAAAGGGGCCGCUAAUUGCGUGCCAGAAGCGUCGGUAAUACGUGAGCCCCAAACGUUAUCCGGUUUUAUUGGGUGUAAAAGGUCGUGUAGGUGGUUUUACAAGUUGUCUUUUAAAUGCUCCAGCUCAACUGAAGAAUAGGAGACAAGACUGUAAGACUAGAGUUUUCUCAAGGGAGAUUGGAACUUAGGGAGGAGUAGUGAAAUGCGUUGAUACCCUAGGGAACACCAGUGGCGAAGGCGAAUCUCUGGGAGAUAACUGACACUGAGACACGAAAGUUAGGGGAGCGAAGCAGAUUAGAGACCUGCGUAGUCCUAACUGUAACGUAUGUCUGCUAGCUGCAUUUUUUCUCCGCCUUUGGCGGAGGAGGGGUGUGGCGAAAAUAACUCGUUAAGCAGACCACCUGGGGAGUACGGCCGCAAGGCUAAACUCAAGGAAUUGGCGGGGAGGCACACAACCAGUGGAACAUGU
rnacentral:rRNA from 1 species